rnacentral:rRNA from 1 species
GACGAACGCUGGCGGCGUGCUUAACACAUGCAAGUCGAACGGUGACCUCGAGAGCUUGCUCUUGAGUGAUCAGUGGCGAACGGGUGAGUAACACGUGAGUAACCUGCCCCAGACUCUGGAAUAACCCCGGGAAACCGGAGCUAAUACCGGAUACGAAGUGGAGCCGCAUGGCUACUACUUGGAAAGUUUUUCGGUCUGGGAUGGACUCGCGGCCUAUCAGCUAGUUGGUGAGGUAACGGCUGACCCAGGCGACGACGGGUAGCCGGCCUGAGAGGGCGACCGGCCACACUGGGACGGAGACACGGCCCAGACUCCUACGGGAGGCAGCAGUGGGGAAUAUUGCACAAUGGGCGAAAGCCUGAUGCAGCGACGCCGCGUGAGGGAUGACGGCCUUCGGGUUGUAAACCUCUUUCAGCAGGGAAGAAGCGAAAGUGACAGUACCUGCAGAAGAAGCACCGGCUAACUACGUGCCAGCAGCCGCCGCGGUAA